GGUUCCAUGGUCUAAUGGUGAGGACUCUGGAGUCUGAAUCCAGGGAUCCGAGUUCAAGUCUCGGUGGAACCU